CCUGGUUGAUCCUGCCAGUAGUCAUAUACUGUCUUAAAGAUUAAGCCAUGCAUUUGUAAGUAUGAACAAAUUCAGACUGUGAAACUGUUAAUGGCACAUUAAAUCAUUUAUUAUUUGUUUGAUGGUAUCUACUACUCGGAUAACCGUAGUAAUUCUAAAGCUAAUACUUGUAACAAACCCCGACUUCUAGAAGGGAUAAAUUUAUUAGAUAAAAGGUUGACACGGGUUCUGCCCGUUGCUGUGAUGAUUCAUGAUAACUCGAUGGAUCGUACGACCAUCGUGCCUACCAUGGUGGUGAUGGGUGAUGGAAAAUUAGGGUUUGAUUUUGUAGAGAGAUCCAGAGAAAUGGCUACCACAGCAAAGAAAAGCAGCAGGCGUGCAAAUUCCUCAAUCCUGACAUGGGGAGGUAGUGACAAUUAAUAACAAUACCAGGAUCAAUGAGUUUGGUAAUUGGAAUGAGUACAAUCUAAAUCCCUUAAUAAGGAUACAUUGGAGGGAGAGUUUGGUUCUAGAAGCCGUGGUAAUUCCAUCUCCAAUAGCGUAUAUUUAAGUUGUUGCAGUUAAAAAGCUCAAAAUUUGACUUUGGGAAUGGCCGGCAGGUCCUCCUAUGGUGUGCAUUGGUCGUCUCGUCCCUUCUGUUGGCGAUGCGCUCCAGGCCUUAACUAGAUGGGUCGUGCAUUCGACGCUGUUACUUUGAAGCAAUUAGAUUGCUUAAACCAAGCCUACGCUCUGUAUACAUUAGCAUGGGAUAACAUUAUAAGAUUUCUGUCCUAUUACGUUGGCCUUCCGGAUCGGAGUAAUGACUAACAGGGAUAGUCGGGGGCAUUCGUAUUUCAUAGUCAAAGGUGAAAUUAUUGGAUUUAUGAAAUACGAACAACUACGAAAGUAUUUUCCAAGGAAUUUUACAUUAAUCAAGAACAAAAGUUGGGGGCUCGAAGGCAAUCAAAUACCAUCCUAGUCUCAAUUAUAAACGAUGCCGACCAAUGAUCGGAGGAUGUUGCUUUUAGGACUCCGCCGGCACCUUAUGAGAAAUCAAAGUUUUUGGGUUCCGAGGGGAGUAUUGUCCCAAGCCUAAAACUUAAAGGAAUUGACGGAAGGGCACCACCAGGAGUGGAGCCAGUCUCAAUUAUAAACGAUGCCGACCAAUGAUCGGAGGAUGUUGCUUUUAGGACUCCGCCGGCACCUUAUGAGAAAUCAAAGUUUUUGGGUUCCGAGGGGAGUAUUGUCCCAAGCCUAAAACUUAAAGGAAUUGACGGAAGGGCACCACCAGGAGUGGAGCCUGAGGCUUAAUUUGACUCAACACGGGGAAAUAUACCAGGUCCAGACAUAGUAAGGAUUGACAGACUGAGAGCUCUUUCUUGAUUCUAUGGGUGGUGGUGCAUGGCCGUUCUUAGUUGGUGGAGCGAUUUGUCUGGUUAAUUCCGUUAACGAACGAGACCUCAGCCUGCUAACUAGCUAUGCGGAGGUAUCCCUUCGCGGCCAGCUUCUUAGAGGGACUACGGCCUUUUAGGCCGCGGAAGUUUGAGGCAAUAACAGGUCUGUGAUGCCCUUAGAUGGUUGAUUGGGAAUGCAGCCUAAAUCGGGCAGUGAAUUCUGUCCAAAGCUAAAUACGAGCGACAGACCGAUAGCGAAAAGUACCGUGAGGGAAAGAUGAAAAGGACUUUGAAAAGAGAGUCAAAGAGUGCUUGAAAUUGUCGGGAGGGAAGCGG
rnacentral:rRNA from 1 species